rnacentral:rRNA from 1 species
UACGUAGGUGGCAAGCGUUGUCCGGAAUUAUUGGGCGUAAAGAGCGCGUAGGCGGUAUGGUAAGUCUGUCUUAGAAGUGCGGGGCUUAACCCCGUGAGGGGACAGAGACUGUCAUACUGGAGUCUCGGAGAGGAAAGCGGAAUUCCUAGUGUAGCGGUGAAAUGCGUAGAGAUUAGGAAGAACACCGGUGGCGAAGGCGGCUUUCUGGACGAGCACUGACGCUGAGGCGCGAAAGCGUGGGGAGCGAACAGG